rnacentral:rRNA from 1 species
UGGGGAAUAUUGCACAAUGGGCGCAAGCCUGAUGCAGCCAUGCCGCGUGUAUGAAGAAGGCCUUCGGGUUGUAAAGUACUUUCAGCGGGGAGGAAGGGAGUAAAGUUAAUACCUUUGCUCAUUGACGUUACCCGCAGAAGAAGCACCGGCUAACUCCGUGCCAGCAGCCGCGGUAAUACGGAGGGUGCAAGCGUUAAUCGGAAUUACUGGGUGUAAAGCGCACGCAGGCGGUCUGUCAAGUCGGAUGUGAAAUCCCCGGGCUCAACCUGGGAACUGCAUUCGAAACUGGCAGGCUAGAGUCUUGUAGAGGGGGGUAGAAUUCCAGGUGUAGCGGUGAAAUGCGUAGAGAUCUGGAGGAAUACCGGUGGCGAAGGCGGCCCCCUGGACAAAGACUGACGCUCAGGUGCGAAAGCGUGGGGAGCAAACAGG